AGACCCGAAACCCGGUGAUCUAGCCAUGGGCAGGUUGAAGGUUGGGUAACACUAACUGGAGGACCGAACCGACUAAUGUUGAAAAAUUAGCGGAUGACCUGUGGCUGGGGGUGAAAGGCCAAUCAAACCGGGAGAUAGCUGGUUCUCCCCGAAAGCUAUUUAGGUAGCGCCUCGUGAAUUCAUCUCCGGGGGUAGAGCACUGUUUCGGCUAGGGGGCCAUCCCGGCUUACCAACCCGAUGCAAACUGCGAAUACCGGAGAAUGUUAUCACGGGAGACACACGGCGGGUGCUAACGUCCGUCGUGAAGAGGGAAACAACCCAGACCGCCAGCUAAGGUCCCAAAGUCAUGGUUAAGUGGGAAACGAUGUGGGAAGGCCCAGACAGCCAGGAUGUUGGCUUAGAAGCAGCCAUCAUUUAAAGAAAGCGUAAUAGCUCACUGGUCGAGUCGGCCUGCGCGGAAGAUGUAACGGGGCUAAACCAUGCACCGAAGCUGCGGCAGCGAACGUAUCACCCAAGACAACUUUACGGAGUUGACGAUUGACGGAGC
rnacentral:rRNA from 4 species